UAAUUCUGAUUAAUUUGGCAGCUUGCUGCCAUUUUUUUCCUAUGUAAAUAUUCCUUGUGGGCUUCUGGAUCUCAGUUGUGCUCUCUGUAGAAGGGGCUGAGGAUCCUGCUGAGCUUGUGGGGGGCUGUGUGGCCAAGCACAGUAUUUAUAAAAUGGCAGUUUGUUGUUUGUAAGGUGUUACAGAACUGCUCUGUAUUCUAUAUCUGCAAUGAGUUGAUGGGUAAUUGUAGUCUCAUAGCUGUGAUCAUACUGUAUAGUAUGAUCUGUAGAACUUAACAGUGCAGUAAAAGUUGAAUUAUUUUCCUACAGGACAUGGGCCACCACUUCCUGAGCAAAGAAGUGGCUUCAGUUUGGAAGCCCUCAGUCAGGAGAGCAGAACCAGUUUGGAACUGGACACGUGAACACACAACACAGCCUUGUUUCUUACAGUGUUAAAACUGGUUUCUUUUUGUGUUUCUUGAGUAUGUUAGAGAUACUAAUGUGGCAUUUAGAGUUUACCUUUCACUCUCUGCAGGAUGUAUUUUGCACUGUUUAUAUUACUCGGGGCCAGGUGAGAUCCCCUGGUCCUUGGUGGGAUGAUGAAAAGUCCUGGAACCUCCCAGCUACAAGUGUUGUAGCACCGUAACAUGAGCAGCUCCACCAUGCCACAGGUGUCUGUCAUUCCACAGAUUUGCUGAAUCACAGUAAAAAGUCACAUUGUCUGACUUUUCAAGUCUGAAGGGAAGACAUGCAGGUGCACUCCAUUCCAGCAGCAAUAAUCACAGGAAAUGUGGAAAACAUACAGUACCAAAUUGUGCUUUUUGGACACAUUUGUGUAAUGUUGCCUUCCAUGGACUAGAGAAAUGAAGCUUGGAUUAAAGCUCACUCCACUGGGGAGAAAACAGAUUUUCUUUUCCAGUGUCUUCAAACAGAAAGCAAAAGCUUUUUCAAACGUUGUCCUGCCUUGUUCUGACUGCAAAUUCAAGAAUCUGUUUCACAUCUAUGCCUGAAAUGGAAGGUACAGUGCAAACUGUCUAUCUGGAGUUCAUAACUUUUAUCCAAAAUUUUAUCCUACCUGGGAAAUAUAGCCUGUCUCUUGUGGAUAGCAACUGCUAAAAGACAAUUCCUGCUCAGUCUGCUCUGCUGUGCCAGGAAUGCUGGGGACUGUUUACUCUACCUGUUGAGACUUGCUGCAAAAUUAGGGCCACAUUGGAGCUCCAAUCAGCCACUCAGGAGGGGGAGGAGGAGCCCCAGGUACUCCAGGAAUACCUGAGGUGUGGCAGCCAGAAAUUCUGCAGCACUGAAGGAAUACAACCAGCAGUGUUGCUGCUCCACCUUGGCUCGGCUGCACUGGUUGGUGCUGCCUUCACCUGGGGAGCUCCCGGCGGCACCAAGCUGGAGCAACACUUGGGGAGCUCUUUGUACCUGUGCAAAGGGAGUGAGAAGCACUGUUGUUCCAAAAAAUACAAUUUUCCAUGCACGUCUGCCUCUGCAAUCCAACAAUUCCCAUCUAGUCUCACAGUUAGCAAUGUCACCAUGUCGCCCUGUCCUGGGUUUGGCUGGGAUAGAGUUAAUUUUCUUCCCAGGAGCUGGUGCACUGUAGUGUGUGAGCAGGGGCUGUGUGGGGUUUAGUGCCUCCUGGGUUAAACCACCUCCUGUCUUUGCAUAUUCCAUCUCUGCACAGUUGAAAUUCCUUCAGGCCUGAGCCUCGGGGCAGUGUGUUGAGUUCAUGUACCAUUCCCAAAUGUGAACUUGAUUACCUUGCAGAUACAAGAGUGUACUCAUUUCAGAUGUCACAGAAAAGACUUAAGAAGAAAGACAAAUGAAAAUCUCCUUGAGAAUGGUAAAGACAUGGAUUGUUUCUGGCCUGGAUCCACGUAGCACCUGUUUAUGACAACUGUAGGAGGGGAUAAGUGGAUUUGCUAAUUCAUAUUUGCUGUGCAGAACUCCCUGCUGCUCUGCAAAGCAGGGAGAUCUCCCUGAUUAAACUGACCUUUAAAGACAAGCACCACUUUUUAAAAAAUGUCCAGUCACUGAGCUGUGGGAACCUGGCAGGUAUUCCUUCAAAACCUGGGGAUGCUCAUCAUCCGCAAGAAAAUUUGGAGCAUCCAAUAUCCUCGUACAUUGAGACAAUUUGGUUCUACCUCGUGACAUCUGUUAAGGCCUAAGAAUACUGGAAUCAGCAUUUUAUAGCCAUUUCAUGCUGAAUUUGGGUGCUGGAGCCAUGAACAACUUCUGUUGCUUCUGUGUUUCUUUCUGUACAGACGUCAUGGCUGAUGGGAAAGGGAUGUCUGUCCAUGUGGGAUGGGAUGUGUGCAGCUCAUCUCAACUGCUUUAUACAUUAACAAUUUUUCCUUGAAAAACUGGUCGCUGCUGGGAACCAAGACUUUCCAGUUAAAUCCUUUUGUUUGGUCCUGGCUGACACAUACAAAGUUGGGUUUUGUUACUCUUUGUGUACAUUUUGAUUCCUUCUGAAUCAUCCAAACAAGAGGCCUGAGGGCCAUGGUACACCAAAACAGUACCAGGAGUUUGGUUUUUUGCUGUUUUGGCUCAAAGAAGAAUCAAUUCAAUUAUUCUGAUUAGAAAAGAGGUUCAGUUAAAUUCAUUCUCACUUCAAUUUGGGGAGAGGACAUUCUCCCUCUCCUAAGUGUGAUGAAAUAAAAAGGAGACAUUGAAUGGGGUUUUUAUGGAAGAGAAUAUCAAAAUCUCAGGCUAUAAAUUCACCAUGACAGUAGAAAUAUGUGUCAGAUUUUUGGAUGGGUUGGCUUUGUGCCAGCCAGCAGUUCUUCCCUCUGGAUCAUGUGUUGUCUACAUGAAUCUCUUUUAUUUUAUGCUGCCAUAAUCUUUAUAUGUCUGUCCUCUCACAAGUUGAAUAAAUGUCACACAGUACAUUCUGUC